UAUUUUAAAUAAAUAACAAAAGUUUACUUAGAAGAAUCCAUGAUACCCUGGAGGCAUCAUGUUUGGAUUGUUGAAUGGAACAACGCUAGACCUGAAUCUAGCUGGCCUUAUCUCAUACGGAAGACUUGCUCGACUAGAAGAACUUCCGAGAAAAAAAAGGAUAAUUAGGUUGAUGAUGAUGAUGAGGAUGAGAAUGAGGAAGACGAAUAUUAAGGUAUGAAUCACAAUCUUCUCAGCAUGCUGAGCCACAAUCUUUUUUAGCUCAUAAAGAGAGGCCUUCAAUUGUUGAAGUUGUGCCAAACUUAGAUCUUCCUUAGGACCCAUCCACCAACAUUCGUUCUCAUUGGCAUUUUUCGUCUGGUUAAGAUCCUUGCU
rnacentral:lncRNA from 1 species